UUAAAAGUCUAGCUCCGCCACUGCUUGGGACACAUCGAUCACUUCCGGUGCGGAGGCAACAGUAGAUUAGCAAUGGCGUUUCGACCGUUGCAGAACUAACCGACAAUAACUGCUGAUAAUGUUUAUGGAAUUAACGCAAGAACGUCAGAAAGUAUGAUGUGAAAAUGUCCCAAAUUGUCUGGUGCCCAAGGAAGAAAAAUAAUGAAAAGAAGAAGAAGAAGAAAUAAAACAUCACAGAAACAGAGACCUGCAGAUCUCUGACCUGCAGAGGAAGUAAAUAUGUUCCUUAUUCACACAGCAAGAUCUGCACUCAGGAAGAGGUCGUAGAGUUUAUCCAGCUCCUUCUCCGCGCCCUUUGGUGUGAUGUGAACUGGAAUCAUCACCAGAUCUUCCAGAGCUGUCGAGACAGGAAUCAGUGUGCAAAGAACGGAUAGUGUCUGCACUCGGAAGCCGUUUUCAACAGGAAAUGCUCAGAGCUGCGACAGGAAGAGGCCCAGCCGCCUCGUCUCAGCGCCUGGCUGAUGUUGUUUAGACAUGAAUGAGUUAAAGAAAAACCUGUCGCCGCUGAAAAACUGUCCUGGGAACAAGCAGGGCGGGUUUGUUUCUGCCGUGGACUUCUUUUGUUUGCUGGUUUUAGUAAAGCAGUAAUUCUCAGGAUUUUUGCAUUUGCAGGAUUCGUGGAAGUCGGGUUUGUGUUGCAACUAAUUGAUGCGUCUGCACGGAGCUGCAGGCCAAGGCAAACAGACACUCAUACCAUUAAAACCAGUUUGAACUUGCUCAGUUUGUCUGGUCUAGUUUUAUCUUGCGUUGUUGAACAGAAAAGAUUCAAGAUAAACUUGGCAUUUCUCGUGUCGUAAUAAGAGUUUUUUAUAACUUCUUUUUUCCAUUUUCCCCAUGUCGUAAGUGAGAUAAUCUGCCAGCAGGACUAAUAUUUUCUCAUCAAUAUGAAGGAACUGCUGACUUGAAACGAGUUUCUAUAUUUUGCCAUAAAAUUACUUAUGAUUUAGUUUUGUCUUGUUUCAAGUGCACUAAGAAAUUGGAUUAAAAAUACUGGGUGGGAUUUUGUGUUUUUGCAGUGAUGCUGCAUAUAGGUACAUAUUUAUUACCUCUUUUACUGUUAUCACAAUAAAUACCACAAAAUAUGAUGUUGACGUCUAAAUACAUAUCACCCAUCCCUUGUUUAAACUACUAUUAAAAUAUUGUCUGAUGAGGCUUCAUCAACAUGCCUCAGUGAAAUAAUAACUGCACUGAGGAUGUAAUUUAGUCUUUUGAUUCGGGUUUGUUCUGAUCCGG